GACGAACGCUGGCGGCGUGCUUAACACAUGCAAGUCGAACGGAAAGGCCCUGCUUUUGUGGGGUUCUCGAUUGGCGAACGGGGGAGUAACACGUGAGUAACCUGCCCUUGUCUUUGGGGUAACUUCAGGAAACUGGGGCUAAUACCGGAUAGGAUCUCCUGCUGCGUGGUGGGGGUUGGAAAGUUUCGGCGGGCGGGGCUGGACUCGCGGCUUAUCAGCUUGUUGGUCGGGUAGUGGCUUGCCAAGGGUUUGACGGGUAGCCUGCCUGGGAGGUGGAACGGCGUCAUGGGGACUGAGAUACGGCCCAGACGCCUAUGUGAGGCAGCAGGGGGGAAUCUUGCACAACGGGCGGAAGCCUGAUGCAGAAACGCCGGGUGCGGGAUGACGGUUUUUGGGUUGAAAACAGCUUUCGCCUGUGACGAAGCGUGAGUGACGGUACUGAAUAAAGAAGCACCGGCUAACUACGUG
rnacentral:rRNA from 1 species